GAUGAACGCUGACAGAAUGCUUAACACAUGCAAGUCCACUUGAACUUCGGUUUGGGUGGCGGACGGGUGAGUAACGCGUAAAGAACUUGCCUCACAGAUAGGGACAACAUUUGGAAACGAAUGCUAAUACCUGAUAUUAUGAUUAUAUGGCAUCGUAUAAUUAUGAAAGCUAUAUGCGCUGUGAGAGAGCUUUGCGUCCCAUUAGCUAGUUGGAGCGGUAACGGCUCACAAAGGCGAUGAUGGGUAGCCGGCCUGAGAGGGUGAUCGGCCACAAGGGGACUGGGUCACGGCCCUUACUCCUCCGGGGGGCAGCGGUGGGGAAUUUUGGACAAGGGACCAAGAGUCUGAUCCAGCAAUUCUGUGUGCACGAUGAAGUUUUUCGGAAUGUAAAGUGCUUUCAGUUGGGAAGAAAAAAAUGACGGUACCAACAGAAGAAGUGACGGCUAAAUACGUG
rnacentral:rRNA from 1 species